CCCUACGGGGGGCAGCAGUGGGGAAUAUUGCACAAUGGGGGAAACCCUGAUGCAGCGACGCCGCGUGAGUGAAUAAGUAUCUCGGUACGUAAAGCUCUAUCAGCAGGGAAGAAAAAAAGACUUUGGCUUUGGACGGUACCUGACUAAGAAGCCCCGGCUAACUACGUGCCAGCAGCCGCGGUAAUACGUAGGGGGCAAGCGUUAUCCGGAUUUACUGGGGGUAAAGGGAGCGUAGACGGCAGCGCAAGUCUGGAGUGAAAUGCCAGGGCUCAACCCCGGAACUGCUUUGGAAAGUG
rnacentral:rRNA from 1 species